rnacentral:rRNA from 1 species
UACGUAGGGGGCAAGCGUUGUCCGGAAUUACUGGGCGUAAAGGGCGUGUAGGCGGCCAACUAAGUCCGACGUGAAAUCCCCAGGCUUAACCUGGGAACUGCGUCGGAUACUGGAUGGCUUGAAUCCGGGAGAGGGAUGCGGAAUUCCAGGUGUAGCGGUGAAAUGCGUAGAUAUCUGGAGGAACACCGGUGGCGAAGGCGGCAUCCUGGACCGGCAUUGACGCUAAAGCGCGAAAGCCAGGGGAGCAAACGGG